UUGGGCCCACUCCCGCAGCACAGACUACGUUGGGACGACACAGAGAAGAUCAGCAUGGCCUUUGCUCAGGGAUGACAUGCAAAUUCAUGAAACAUUCUAUGCUUUU